rnacentral:rRNA from 1 species
CCUGGCUCAGGAUGAACGCUAGCGGCAGGCCUAACACAUGCAAGUCGAGGGAGGAGCCUUCGGGCUUCGACCGGCGUACGGGUGCGUAACGCGUAUACAAUCUGCCUUUCACAUAGGGAUAGCCCGAAGAAAUUUGGAUUAAUACCUAAUGGCAUAUAGAGGUGGCAUCAUUUUUAUAUUAAAGCUGAGGCGGUGAAAGAUGAGUAUGCGUUCUAUUAGCUAGUUGUAGAGGUAACGGCUCCCCAAGGCUACGAUAGAUAGGGGUUCUGAGAGGGAUACCCCCCACACUGGUACUGAGAUACGGACCAGACUCCUACGG